rnacentral:rRNA from 1 species
CUUUUUGAUUUUAAUUUAAAGUCUGACCUGCCCACUGAUUUUUAAAUGGCCGCGGUACUUUGACCGUGCGAAGGUAGCAUAAUAAUUAGUUUUUUAAUUGAAAGCUGGAAUGAAUGGUCGAACGAGAAAAAUACUGUCUCAAGUUAAUUUUAAUUAGAAUUUUAUCUUUAAGUAAAAAAGCUUAAAUAAUUUUAAAAGACGAGAAGACCCUAUAGAGUUUUAUAAAUUUUAUUAUUUGAGGUAUUUAGAAUUUUAUAGCUUAAAAUAGUAACAUUUAUUUUGUUGGGGUGACAGAGAAAUUUAUUAAACUUUUUUUACUAUAAAAACAUUGAUUUAUGAAUUAUUGAUCCAUUAGUUAUGAUUAUAAGAUUAAAUUACCUUAGGGAUAACAGCGUAAUUUUUUUUGAGAGUUCUAAUCGAAAAAGAAGUUUGCGACCUCGAUGUUGGAUUAAAAUUAAGUUUUGGUGUAGCAGCUAAAAUUUUAGGUCUGUUCGACCUUUAAUAUUUUACAUGAUCUGAGUUUAAACCGGCGUGAGCCAGGUUGGUUUCUAUCUUUAAAAAAUUAAAAUAUUUUAGUACGAAAGGACCAAAUAUUUAUAA